GCUCUUAUGGUGUAGUCGGUUAUCACGUGGGUCUCAUAGCAAUAUGACUAUCUCAAAGAGGUAGAUAUCCCAAGGUCAUGAGUUCGAUUCUCAUUGAGAGCA